rnacentral:rRNA from 1 species
GAGGGAAAGGCGAAAAGAACCCCGGCGAGGGGAGUGAAAAAGAACCUGAAACCGUGUACGUACAAGCAGUAGGAGCCCCAUCACUCAAGUGCCUCGCACUGAGUGAUGCAAUAACAUCACCGAAAAUAGCGCUGAAUUUGCUAACAAGGUUGGUCGAUUUUUUCAAGCCGUCGCGCAGUGUACCUAGAAGUACACGAGCAACGGAAGUUAAAAAAUCGGGCAAGAUUGAACGCAAAGGCAAGCGGGACAUUUGAGGAUGGGGUGACUGCGUACCUUUUGUAUAAUGGGUCAGCGACUUAUAUUCUGUAGCAAGGUUAACCGUAUAGGGGAGCCGUAGGGAAACCGAGUCUUAACUGGGCGAAUGAGUUGCAGGGUAUAGACCCGAAAC